GGGGCCAUAGCUCAACUGGGAGAGCGCCGCAAUGGCAUUGCGGAGGUUGGGGUUUCGAGUACCCCUGGUUCCACCA
rnacentral:tRNA from 1 species